AUCUCUGAAAGACAAAGAACAGGAAUCCGAAGCUCUCAAACGAAUAAUAAAUGAGAAGGACGAGCAGCUUCAAUUGAUGAAAUCUGCAUCUAAAGAAAAGCAAAAGGAGACUGAAGCC